rnacentral:tRNA from 1 species
GUCCCUGUAGCGUAACGGAUAGCGCGUUGGACUUCUAAUCUAAAGGUUGUGGGUUCGAACCCCACCUGAAAUG